rnacentral:rRNA from 1 species
UACAGAGGGUGCAAGCGUUGUUCGGAAUUACUGGGCGUAAAGGGCGCGUAGGCGGUUCGUUAAGUCCUGUGUGAAAUCCCCCGGCUCAACUGGGGAACUGCACAGGAAACUAGCGGGCUUGAGUUCGGGAGAGGGGAGCGGAAUUCCGGGUGUAGCGGUGAAAUGCGUAGAUAUCCGGAGGACCACCGUUGGCGAAGGCGGCUUCCGGGACCGACACUGACGCUGAGGCGCGAAAGCUAGGGGAGCAAACGGG